AUGAUUAGUCAAAUGCAUUAGAUUGUGACACAUUUAGACCAUAGAAACACUAACAAAGCUAUUUACUGCUUCUAAGCAAUGUUUUGUUGGUUUUAGCCUCUUUUGGGACAAAUUUGGUAUAAGUGUUGUCUAAAUACUCCUACUCCAUCUCUAACUCAUAUAAUUAGUCAAAUACAUUGGAUUGUGACACAUUUUGACCAUAGAAACACUAACAAGGCUAUUGACUACUACUCAGCAAUUUUUUAUUGGUUUUAGCCUCUUUUGAGAGAAAUGGGUGUAAGUGUUAUCUGAACACUCCUAAUCCAUCUCUAACUCUUAUAAUUAGUCAAAUACAUUGGAUUGUGACACAUUUGAUCAUAGAAACACUAACAAGGCUAUUGACUACUUCUCAUCAAUUGUUUGUUGGUUUUAGCCUCUUUUGGGACAAAAUGGGUAUAACUGUUGCCUAAACACUCCUAAUCUAUCUUUAACUCUUAUAAUUAGUCAAAUGCAUUGAAUUGUGGCAUAUUUUGACCAUAGAAACGCUAACAAAGCUAUUUACUACUUCUAAGCAAUUUUUUGUUGGUUUUACCCUCUUUUGGAACAAAAUGCGUAUAAGUGUUGUCUAAACACUCCUAAUCCAUCUCUAACUCAUAUAAUUAGUCAAUUGCAUUAGAUUGUGAUACAUUUUGAGCAUUGAAACAUUAACAAAGCUAUUUAUUGCUUCCAAGCAAUUUUUUGUUGGUUUUAGUCUUUUCUAGGACAAAAUGGGUAUAAGUGUUGUCUAAACACUCUAAUCUAUCUCUAACUCAUAUAAUUAGUCAAAUGCUUUGGAUUGUGACACCUCUUUACCAUAGAAACACUAACAAAUCUAUAUACUGCUUCUAAGCAAUUUUUUGUUUGUCUUAACCUCUUUUGGGAGAAAAUGGGUGUAAGUGUUGUCUGAACACUCCUAAUCCAUCUCUAACUCUUAUAAUUAAUCAAAUUCAUUGGAUUGUGACACGUUUUGACCAUAGAAACACUAACAAAGCUAUUUAUUGCUUCGAAGCAAUUUUUUGUUGGUUUUAGCUUCUUCUAGGACAAAAUGGGUAUAAGUAAAAAAUAAACACUCUAAUCUAUCUCUAACUCAUAGAAUUAGUCAAAUGCUUUGGAUUGUGACACAUUUUUACCAUAGAAACACUAACAAAGCUAUUUACUGCUUAUAAACAAUUUUUUGUUUGUUUUAGCCUCUUUUUGGAGAAAAUGGUUGUAAGUUUUGUCUGAACACUACUAAUCCAUCUCUAACUCUUAUAAUUAGUCAAAUGCAUUGGAUUGUGACACAUUUUGACCAUUGAAACACUAACAAGGUUAUUGACUACUUCUCAGCAAUUGUUUGUUGGUUUUAGCCUCUUUUGGUAGAAAAUGGGUAUAAGUGUUGUCUAAACACUCCUAAUUCAUCUAUAACU
rnacentral:sRNA from 1 species